rnacentral:rRNA from 2 species
AGAGUUUGAUCCUGGCUCAGAUUGAACGCUGGCGGCAGGCCUAACACAUGCAAGUCGAGCGGAAACGACACUAACAAUCCUUCGGGUGCGUUAAUGGGCGUCGAGCGGCGGACGGGUGAGUAAUGCCUAGGAAAUUGCCUUGAUGUGGGGGAUAACCAUUGGAAACGAUGGCUAAUACCGCAUGAUGCCUACGGGCCAAAGAGGGGGACCUUCGGGCCUCUCGCGUCAAGAUAUGCCUAGGUGGGAUUAGCUAGUUGGUGAGGUAAUGGCUCACCAAGGCGACGAUCCCUAGCUGGUCUGAGAGGAUGAUCAGCCACACUGGAACUGAGACACGGUCCAGACUCCUACGGGAGGCAGCAGUGGGGAAUAUUGCACAAUGGGCGAAAGCCUGAUGCAGCCAUGCCGCGUGUAUGAAGAAGGCCUUCGGGUUGUAAAGUACUUUCAGUUGUGAGGAAGGGUGUGUAGUUAAUAGCUGCGCAUCUUGACGUUAGCAACAGAAGAAGCACCGGCUAACUCCGUGCCAGCCGCCGCGGUAAUAC